AGUCAACGCUGGCGGCGUGCCUCAGACAUGCAAGUCGAACGAGAAAGUUUCCUUCGGGAGAUGAGUAAAGUGGCGCACGGGUGAGUAACACGUAGGUAAUCUACCUUCGGGUGGGGAAUAACCCAGGGAAACUUGGGCUAACACCGCAUAAUGCAGCGGCACCACAUGGUGACAGUUGUUAAAGCGGGGGAUUUUAGGACCUCGCGCCUGAAGAGGAGCCUGCGGCGGAUUAGCUAGNGGUAAGGUAACGGCUUACCAAGGCGACGAUCCGUAACCGGCCUGAGAGGGGCGGUCGGUCACACUGACACUGACAUACGGGUCAGACUCCUACGGGAGGCAGCAGUCGGGAAUUUUGGGCAAUGGGCGAAAGCCUGACCCAGCAACGCCGCGUGAAGGAUGAAAUCCCUCGGGAUGUAAACUUCGCAAGAAACGGGAAGAAUAAAGCGAGAGUAAAUAUCUUUCGCGAUGACGGUACCGUUUGUAAGCUCCGGCUAACUCCGUGCCAGCAGCCGCGGUAAU
rnacentral:rRNA from 1 species